AUGUCCCUAGGAACUUGGGAUGCUAUUUAUUUUGUAUUUCAGCAACUGCCCCUUCUCCUAUCCCAAAGCACCAAUUACUGCCCUCUGCCUCAGCAGUACCAGUAUAAGAUGACAUUCCAAAGACUGGAGGCGACUCAGCCUGAGUUAAUUCACAAAAUUCUGCCAUGCUGGGGCUUGAGCUUGAGGUUGGGCUUAGGCUUGGGCUCAGCUUUUGACCCUCAGGCAUCUCCCUUCCCUUCCUGCCUUCCUCUCCCUUCUCCUCUGCUGCAGCACGAUUUUCUUAAUCUUCAGACACUCACUAUUUUCAUGAACAGUUACCCUCUGGCCCCACAACCAAAGACAACUCAUGGCCUCCUUUGGCUGGCCCUUGUGUAACAUUGCAAACCUGUGGCUUUGCAAAAUGUACCCAGGUCACAAGGGGAUUUUUUUUUAGCAGUGAUAUCCCUGUCUGAGUCACUUUUUAAGCUUGUAACCAGACUUACAAUCUUAAAUGUAUUUUCCUUUGUUUAA